UUAUGAUCAUUUUCUGUUUAUUUUCUUCUUUGAAAGUCUCCUGUUGAAGUUUAUUGCUAUUCUCACUUUGGAAAUCAAAAGACUUUUCUACAAGUAAAAGGAAGGUUAAUCAAGAAAACAGUGGAGCUACAGAUCAGGGAGGCCAAUCGCUGUAACCUAGGGGCAGCCCUAGCUGCUAGUGGACGGGGAAAAUCUUGCAACAGAUGUGGCAAGGGGAUCUUGUGGGGAUCAGCAAGGACCAGGGAAAGACAGGCACUCCGUAGUGAUGGGAGAACAUCACAUCUGGACUCUGGUGGCAUCAGAGCGUCAAGGGGGGGGGGAAUCAAGAAGUGGGGUCCUAAAGUAGGCGAUACCCAGUUUUAUAAAAGUAAAUCCCAUCAGCAGGAGCCUCAAAAUGAGUAGAAAUUGUUCCAGAUCUGCCAACAGAAAUACAUACAGGAGAAGAACCAAACAGAAAUUCAAAUCUGUGCUCAGCAUUUUCCUGGGAGCAAAAAUCAGAUACAUAAAAAUGCUGCAUUGUUUGGGGGCCUAGACCAUAGCCUCUGAUAUUCUGUUCAAAGAAGUCUUGUUUAGCCUGAGAAGUGACAAAAUAUUCGGUCUGCAUUCAGGUGGCCUCAGCUGCAAGAAGAGGAGGGAUGCUAGGGUACUGAACCAGGUGAAUCGUUGGUCAUGCGUUCGCUUGUUUACCCAUUAACUAUAUGAAAGGCAUUCUUACUGUUAUUGCUACAGCCUGCCUGAGGAAUGAGCCAAACAUUAUGUUAACACAUGCGUGAACACACCCACCCAUUCACACACACACACACACACACACACACACACACACACACACACGCUUGUAGAUACACACAUGGGUGGUUGCACAGGAGGAAUGGUAAGCAUUGGUCAUUUGCCAGCUGGGAAACCCACAGCACUCCUGAGCCUUGGGCGCCGGGAGCUCCAUGGAUCAGUUCACAAGGUAGCUGCCAACAUCAAAGAGGGACAGUUUUGUUUCAGAACCCCAGGUCUUGUGCCUCCAGAAAGUAAGUUGACACUUUCCCUUAGAAUUAGCAGAAAGGAAAGAAAAAUAUUUGAGUGGCCUUUGAAGAGCUAAAGCCCAAGUACAGGAUAGACUGGACAAAGAGAGCACCUCGUUAAAACGCAAAUUAGUUCUUGAGGUAGUGGAGUGGGGCUAUAUUUUUCCAACUAGAGAGCUGGCCAGCAACUGCUUUUCAACAUCUAUGAGCAAAAGGACAGUUAGUUUGUUGAGCUUGAACCUGCUUAUUACGCACUUUUAUCAGAAACCAUCGCUCUGUGUGUAUCGAUUUCUAGCCAACCAUUAACUAGAUCUGACCUUAGAGCUUUGAUAAUAGCUGGGGAAUUCACAAAGGAGAGGGAAGCCUGCUAGUGUGGACCCCUCAGCCUUAGGUGUUUGAUUUUACAUAUACAACAAAUAACCAGGAAAAGGUCAAGAAAACUGGCUACUUUGGGCUGUUAUGUCAAAAACGGACUACUGAAUGUCUCAGUAAUGUUGUUAUCUGUGAACCCAGAGCUUUCCAGUCUGGAGCUGUGGUCUAAGCAGCACCAAGAGACCUGCUCCAGUGGCCUAGGGACCACUUGCUGAUCUCAUGCACUUGCUGAUCUCAUGCAACCGUCUGGCCCUCUAUCAGAUGCUACCGCUUUUCCAACUCCACAGACCUCUUUAUUUCAAAGAGAACCGAGCAGAGCUUCUGGGCUAAUUUUGGAACUGUUCAUUAGUUGUCAAGCUUUCUUAAAGAGCAG